GGGGGCCAGUGUAGACGUAGUCUGAGUCUUGGAAUAAACUUGCCAGCUUAGGGGAAGUGUUCCUCCAAAUUCUGAAGGAAGGGAUGUCCACCGACCAUCAAGUUGUAUUGGCCCUAGGCAUUUUGGUUGGAAACGCAUACACAUACAUAAUGAAGUGGAAUAUCGAUUUACAGAACAGGAAGGGAAAGACAGUAGCUUCAAUCAACACUAUAAAGGCAGCGGCCACAAUCCAUCCAAUCCAGGCUACUUUCUGCUACACCUGCGGGAAGCUGGGGCACAUAACACGGGACUGUGGGCACAAAAGGAAGCCCAAACUUUGUAACAACUGCAAAAAGAUUGGCCACAUUAAGGAAGAAUGCUGCCACCCCGGAGGGGGUAAGGCAGGACAGUGGCCGAGCAGGAGCGCCCCUAGCUCACAGGACACGCAGAACAUCACACAGGAGCAGGAGAAACUGCCAAGCAACUCAAGCAACUCCAGGAGAUUCUUAAGCUCCGUGCCAGCAAAUAAUGUUUUGUAGUACAUGAACGGGGGCAGGAGGGCAGCUGGGCAAAUUAUUAAUAAGCAGCCAAACCUUCCCCUCACAUGCCAUUAUAUUUGGCUCGAGGGCAUGGGAGGAGGUAAAUUAAAAGCCGCCUUAAGCCAGCUAAUGGCAAUUGAAUUUGAAGAUGUAAUCAUCGUUGGCCCCUGAUAAGGAGACACAAUUGGCAACCUAGAUCUCCUAUCAAGUUUAAGGAAGUAGUUAACCCCAAAGCCGGUAUAGAAUGAACUUUUCAGGAAACCCUACAGACUUUGAAGUAAAUUGACAACGUUUACAAUCUCUUAAUUUCACUGUCAAAAAUAAAAACCGCAGACUCGGCUGCAGCAUGGAUGUUAUGAAAACCCUAUACUCAGAAGUUUAAAAUUAGUAAUAGCUGACUGCAAUAAUGAACAUUCGGAUUUACCUACUGAAGAGAAUCAGGAGGUGUGGGGGGCUCAUCGGAAAGCCCACCCUCCUUACCAAAUUAAUAUUGGACAAACUUGUGUCAUUGGGAAAAGUCAUUUAGCAGGAAUCAGGAUGGACCAUAAGAAGGAAAAAGCAUGUUAAAGGGGAAGGCAAAAGGUUUGGAGCCCUAUCAUGGGCAUAGUGGAAGGAAUAAGGAAAGUAGGACAGACAGUGGAAAGUUACUAGGAAUGAGGAACAUUUUCUUUGGAAGGACAAAGCAAGUGAUUGGGGGUAUGUGAAGAUGAGAAGUGGACUUCAUGGGAGUGUGGAAGGAAUUAAGCGAUUGUUGUAAUAUGUGAAGGGAAACCUGCUUUUAAAAUGACACCUUGUUUCUUUGCAGCCUCUUUCUUAAGAAGUGUGCAAAUCAUCUAGGCAAAGAAACAAUCACAUUUAACUAUUUGGCUACGAACACUUUUGUUAAAUCUGCAAAGGAGAAAUUAGGAAUUCUACUGAAACUUAAUUGGUUAACUGCAUAAAAGAAUGAGCUCUAUAUAUAGUAACUAUUUUGUAGGUUUCAAAUGAACUAGUUUUAUUUCAUUUUUUUAAAUGCCCUCUUGCUUAAAAUUACAAACAGACAAGGCACAAAUUGGCUAGUGCUUGUGUUGGGCAUUCAACUCUUACGGUUAAUUUAACUCCCUAGAAACAAAUUAUUAUUUUAGAAAUUCAAGCUUUGGAACUUCACUGUCUCUUUCAAGGCUGAGUUGAUAAUACUUUUGGCUUGCUUUCAAAUCCAAUGUUAUAUGUGAAUACAGGCUUCCUGGCUAUUUCCAAGGAAUAUAAAACACCUGUCCUUUGAAGUAAAUUGUCCAAAUACAAAUAAGAUAUGUAUAAGCAUCUAUUUGACAACAUUUAAUGUCAUUAUUACUAUUAAUAUAGCACUAAUAAGUAACGCUGUAUAUAAUUUUUUCAGGAACUGAAAACCUUUUUGAUUGCUGGAAUGGUAAUUGGUAAACACCUAAUUCGGCAACGGGGCUUAGCAGAUACCAUCACAGGCUGGUUUGGGCCUGGAAACUGUCAGCAACACUUAUGGCAAAGAACAAAGAAACCCUAUAGUAUCCAGGCUAGUAAAUGUAGUAAUAUCCAAUGCCUGUGGAGGCCUAGACACUAGCCAAGCUAACGAUUAAUCCUGAGUAGUUUGAAGGAUUUGUCCAGCUCUGUGUCCACAUCACUAGACCUAACCAGAUAUUUGGACCAGAGAUUAAUUGAAUUGUUAAUUAACGGAACUAAAUUAAAGGAAUUAGAAGGCCAGUAUUGAAGAAUAGGGCAAGCUUUAGCCACUACCCCCCCCCCAACCCUUAUGGAGGUGGUGAGUCUCCAUCUCCCCCGUGCCUAUCCAUGGGAGUGGGGAAGUAGAGAAUCCACGAGGACCCAAAGGCCCACCUCGACAGGCCAUAGUAUAACCUUUCGCCUUUUAGCCCCUCUGGAUAGCCCCACUUACAGCAAGAAAGAGCAUAUAGUUAUAGUUGAGGGCAUCAAAUAUUCUCUUUCGAGUGGUCCUCGUUGGUGCUCUACUCUGGGUGCUGGUGUGUCCUCGCGCCGGCGACUGGAGAUCUUUCUAGCUGUUUCUACCACGCACACGCCAGAGCGCCCCCGUGUCAUUGGAAUUUGUUAGGCGUGCGCCCAGCACGGCUCCUUGGUUCCUUCUUUACUGUCCUUGGCAGCAGGCGGAGCUUCUUUCUCUCUCUUCAUCUUUGGUUAAAAAUAGAUUGAAACCCUGGUUAAUUCCCAUAGUUACCUUGGAGUCCAAGUUAUUUCACCCUACUACCCACCCAGUCUACAGUUAGAACAAACAAACAAAAAUUUUUCUCUCAUUGCGGCUUGCCGCUUGUUCCCUGCGCCUCAUGCUGGGAUCCCUCGGCUUUAAAAGGUGUCAGACAUGCUGGGAUGCUAUGCUCGUGUCUGAUGGACAUGCCAAUUGUAUUAAGUGUCUCGGCGAAUCCCACCAGACUCAAAAAUGCCAGCACCGCUCAAAAUUGACCACCAGAGCACAUCGGGAUCGAGCUAAUAGGCUGAAAAUGAUCCUUUAUGAAAAGUCUUUCCGACCUCCAUCGGACGACCCACCAGUGGCUCCAGAAAUGGCCUCUCUGACCAAGGGUACGGAUAAGUCAUGUGCCUCUGCUCUGUUUACUCCAGUGGCAUCGAGAACGGCUCGUUCCCCAACCCGCUUGCUACCCUUGGCACCCUCAGCCUCAUGGGUUAGCACCGAGGAUAAACCGGGCCUGUCUGGUACAGCUUCGGCCAAGACACUGGCACCGCACAAACAUUGGGAGGCGAGACAAAGAGCAUUGGCACCACCCAUGUCAACGGCACCGACCUCCUUUUGGGCACCGGCCGCACCGGUGGGCCAUAAGGAGCAUACGGUGCCAAAAGAGCCACAGCACUGGUCGGUGGCACCACCACCAGCUGUGAAAAAGCCCCGCACCGACAUGCCGCCCCCGGACUGCUCAGCACCGAGCAAGUCCCACACCUCGGCACCGAGCCAGCAUACUGCGCACGACUGCUUCCCGGUAUGGAGCCGCUUGCCGCUGGCACUGACCUCACGAGCUUCUUCAGUACAAUCAAUACAUUCCUGCAGAUCGUCUCACAUCUCACGGUCUCCGAGUGAUGCAGGCACGUAACCCAGGAGCAGAUUCUCCUACCAACAUUCUAUUCCUGUGCACAGGACUUGGCAGCCUCCGGUCACACAUUACGCAUACCCACCUCUGCCACCACCAUGGUAUGCACAACAAUAUAGUUACCCACCACUGCCAUACACUACUCAAUGGCAACCAUGUGAGCCACACCAAAGCGAAGUCAUCAUCAGCCUCCUUCAACAAUUUCCAGACCACCAGCUUCGCCACCUCUUACUGUGUCCAUUACAGAGCCAAAUUCCCCAAGUUGCUCUGAGAUACAAGAUUCUCUCUCAAAGGGUGAAGACAGGUCUCCUCUACAUAAUUCCUCAUCCUCACCUGAUGAAGCAGUCACACCUGAUGAAGCUCUACCAUCCAGUGCUGACUUGAGAAAAUUUCAUGACCUUUUGAAGAGGGUGGCAUUAGCACAGGAACUGGACUUACAGGAGGUACAACUUAAACAGUAUAAGCUCCUACGUACACUAGAACCAUCCACUACCUCUCGUCUGGCAAUCCCUAUGGAUGAGGCCAUUAUGGACCCAACUGAUAACAUAUGGCAGACUCCCGCAUCUAUGCAAAUUUCCUUUUCACUCAUCCACCACCUAAUUCUCUAGUGGUGGAUUCGGUUCGUCACAGGAAGACAACCUAACCUUAAGACGACGCCACAGGAUAGAGACCACAAGAGAGUAAACGUUAUGGGCCGUAAGGUCUAUUCGUCUACCACUCUGCACCUUCGAGCAGCAAACUAUAUGGCAAUGCUUGCGGAUUACGAUCUUGCAAAUUAUUCCAAACUCCGGGACUUGGCACAACAUUUACCUGAACAUAAACGGUCAACACUCUUUAAUAUAAAUGCAUGAAGGCCAUGCAGUCUCGCGUACUGCCUUACAGUCCACAAUGGACAUAGCAGAUACCGCAGCCCGUGACACCUCAUCAGCCAUCGUAUUACGCAGGGUAUCAUGGCUACAGGCUUCCGGAGUCUCCAGAGAUUUACAGCAAAAGGUUGAGGACUUACCAUUUGAUAAAACCAACCUCUUUGCUGCCAAGACAGAUGAGGUAUUACGGACGACACUCAGAACAUUGGGGAUGUACACUCCCCACACCCCCCCACAAAAAGAACAAGAUUCUCGACUUACCAGAGACCUAAGGAGCCUUUCCAACAGCAACCUCGGUAUGAUUUCUGGCAGAGACAGAGGCCACAACAUCGUAGACCACAACGACAGCAACAGCAAUGCUCUGCGACGACUCACUCGCCUGCAACUAAACAACAAAUUUGAAAAAUAUGUCGGGAGCCGAAUACCCACUCCAAUAACACACACGCCUGAGUCUCCUCCGUUCAACCACCCACUCUGGGUUUUUUUCCAUCAAUGGACUCAAAUAACAUCGGACAGAUGGGUCCUACAACUGAUCCAACAUGGUUACGUCAUCCCUUUCUUCUCUAUGCCCCUCACCCAUCCCCCUACCCCGUCCCUUUUCAGGGACCCAUCUCAUGAAAUCCUCCUUCAUCAGGAAGUUACAGUUGGGGGUCGUGGAGCAAGUACCAAUGGAAUUCCAUGGUCGGGGCUUCUAUUCAACUUACUUCCUAACGCAGAAGAAGAAUGGAGGAUGGUGUCCCAUAUUGUACCUGAGGACACUCAACAAGUACAUUGCUUACCACCAUUUCAAAAUGGUUACGUUAGCAACUAUCAUCCCUGCUCUGGAUCAAGGAGACCGGCUUUCAGCUCUCGACCGCCAAGAUGCCUACUUUCAUAUCAUCAUCCACCCGGCACACAGACGUUUUCUACGAUUCAAGGUGGGCUCCCAACACUACCAGUACUGAGUGCUCACCUUUGGCCUUUCAACUGCCCUCAGUUUUUUUCCAAAACUCUGGCAGUCGUAAUGGCCUCGCUACGUCAUCAAGGAGUCAUCAUUUUUCCAUACCUGGAUGACUGUCUGAUAAAAGGAUCGUCCUUCCACAAGACCCAGGACAUGAUUGACAUUACCAUGAGCUCCCUCACCAAUCUCGGCUUCCACAUAAAUCUCUCAAAAUCCACUUUACAUCCAAUGCAGAAGUUGGAGUUCAUAGGAGCACUCAUCGAUACUGUGGCAGCAAAGGCCACUCUAUCCGAACACAGAUUCAACACCAUGCACGAUCUUAUCAUGAGUGCACAACUAGCUCCUACCAUGAUGGUACACGAAUGUCUCAAGAUCCUAGGACAUAUGGCCUCCACGAUAUAUGUGGUCAAGCUCUCCAGACUUCAUAUGAGAGGCCUUCAGUCAUGGUUAACCAUGACUUACAAACCCUCUAGAGAUUCUCUCUCCAAACGACUGACUAUUCCACCUCACAUUCUAAACUCACUGCAAUGGUGGAUAAACCCUUGGAAUAUGUUAGGUGUACCAUUCUAUCGACCUUCUCCCACACUCACUAUAGUGACGGAUGCGUCACUCAUGGGUUGGAGAGCGCACCUAGGCACCAUCACAGCUCAAGCCAAAUGGUCCUUUAUGGAACAAACCUUACAUAUCAACCUUCUUGAGUUGCGAGCAGUCAGGUAUGCAUGCCAACACUUCCAACCCUACAUAAUUCACAAAUCCAUUUCUAUAAUGACCGACAAUACCACCUGCAUGUACUAUAUCAACCGACAGGGAGAGGCACGAUCCCACUCCCUUUGCACGGAAGCCAUCAGAUUAUGGAAUUGGUGCCUUACACACCAUGUUACCCCCAUAGCUUCCUACCUACCUGGAGUACUCAAUGUCAUAGCAGAUGCUUUAAGCCGACAUUCCACGAUCAACACAAAUGGGAGAUGAACAGUAAUGUGCUUGCCCCAGUUUUCCAUCAAUGGGGACAACUGGACAUAGACCUCUUUGCCACAAAAGGAAACAAAGUGUCAUCUCUAUUGUUCAAGGGCAGCUCUAGGGAAGCACUCCCUCGGUGACGCCUUUUUGAUCACAUGAGAUGGUCCCCUCCUCUACGCCUUCCCGCCCUUUCCCUUCCUUCACAAGGUACUCAACAAGAUCAGAAUAGAUCGUGCUCGAGCCAUACUUGUGGCACUAGCAUGGCCCAGACAGACGUGGUAUCCUUACCUCUGCAAGAUGGCGAUAGUAGAUCCGUAUACCUUCCCACUUCACCACGACCUCCUAUCACAGAACUACGGGAGGGAUCUCCAUCUGGAACUCCACAAGCUGCAUCUUCACGCCUGGCUCCUUCAUGGCUCCAAGAUGCUGAAAAUGCCUGUUCAGAACCGGUGAAAGAGAUACUGGUCAAUAGUAGGAGACAGUCCACUAGGAGAACGUAUCUCUACAAAUGGAACAGAUUCGUGCAUUGGUUCAAAAGUUCCCACAUAACAUCCCCUGAGCAUGCCUCCCUCCGCACCCUACUGGACUACUUUCUACACCUGAAGCAAUUGGGCCUAGCUCUUACUACCAUCAAAGUACAUGCAGCCGCCAUUGCAGCAUUUCAUCAUACAGGACAUGGGGUCUCCUUUCUUGUUGACCCAAUAACUAAAAGAUUCCUUAAGGGGCUACAGAAUACCUUCCCACCAGUCCGACCACUACUUCCUAUCUGGGACCUCAACCAUGUUCUCAAAAGUCUGACACAGCCACCUUUUGAACCACUGGCAACCUACUCCUGGUCUCAUUUCUCAAUGAAAGUCUCAUUCCUCGUGGCAAUAACCUCCAGUAGGAGGGUGAGUGAACUCACCACACUGAUGGCUGACUCCCCUUAUACCGUAUUCACAAAGAAUGGGGUAAUACUUUGGCCAAACCCUAAGUUCCUCCCCAAAGUCCUUUCGCCUUUUCAUGUCAAUGAACCUAUACACUUACCUGCAUUUUUUCCUAAGCCUCAUGCCGAUCCAGUUCAGGCAGCUUGGCACACUCUGGAUGUCUGCAGGGCGCUUGCAUUUUAUCUUGACUUCACCAAGCCCUGGCGACUAUCCCCGAGCCUUUUUUUUUUUUUUGUCCUAUGCGGAACGAUCCAAAGGAUAGGCGGUCUCAUCACAGAGGAUUUCUAAAUGGAUCUUUUCUUGCAUUCGAACAUGUUAUGUACUCUACAACAAAAACUUACCUGAAACGAUUACAGCACAUUCCACCAGGGCGAUGUCCUCUACUACCACCUUUCUCAGCAAUGUUCCUCUACAGGAUAUCUGUAAUGCCCUCACCUGGUCCUCGGACCAUACUUUUGCACAACAUUAUGCUCUCUCUUCCUCAAUUGCAUCUUCCAUGGAGGUAGGACAGGCAGUACUGUCUACAGUGACUAACACGGGGCUCCAAACCCCGGGCACGGUGCAGUGGAAACAGCUAGAAAGAUCUCCGGUCGCCAGCACGAGAAUGUACCAGCACCCACAGGGACACAUCUUGAAGAAGCACCAUUACUGCACAAGGUGAGCUCUGUUGACUGUGGGAUUGAAAAGGACCCCUGUGGUAGCACCUCUUCUUGAGGAAUCC